rnacentral:rRNA from 1 species
CAGCCUGCCCAGUGAAACUAUUCAACGGCCGCGGUACCCUAACCGUGCGAAGGUAGCAUAAUCACUUGUUCUUUAAAUGGGGACUCGUAUCAACGGCAUCACGAGGGUUAUACUGUCUCCUUUCCCCAAUCAGUGAAACUGAUCUCUCCGUGAAGAAGCGGAGAUAAACUUAUAAGACGAGAAGACCCCAUGGAGCUUUAAACCCAGCAACUACACCUGUUUAAAUAUGCCCUUAUAAACAACAGAACCCUACUUGUCUGGUUUUAGGUUGGGGUGACCGCGGAGCAUAAAUUAACCUCCACUAUGAACGGGCUAACCCCCUUACCCAAGAGCUACACCUCUAAGAAUUAGUAAUCUAACAUAAACUGAUCCGAUCAUCGAUCAACGAACCAAGUUACCCUGGGGAUAACAGCGCAAUCCACUUUAAGAGCCCCUAUCGACAAGUGGGUUUACGACCUCGAUGUUGGAUCAGGGUAUCCUAGUGGUGCAGCAGCUACUAAAGGUUCGUUUGUUCAACGAUUAAAACCCUACGUGAUC